CGGGCUGGGCGACGGCUGAGCCCCCGCUUGGGAAGAGGGCGGCCGGGCUUCCGGACCCCGCCUGGGCUGUGCGACCCCAGGCUCCCAUGCAGACCUUCCAGCGCCCGGCGCCCUCGCCCUCCCUUUCUCAGGUGCACAUCCUGGGGCUCAGAGAAGGCAUGGGGCUUGCCCCAGGUCACACAGCCAGCAGGGGAAGUGGCUCCUGGCAGUGCUCCCUGGACUUUCCGUUGACCGCAAGACCUUCAUGGGGUGACGUGAGACCAGGCUGGGAAUAAUGAAAGCAGAUGACGAUAUAACCCUGAAUGCAGGCAGCCAACCUAAGAGGCAGGUGUACAUAUUAUCCCCACUUUACAGAUGGGGAAACUGAGGCACUGGGUGGUCACACAGCCAGCUAAGUAGCAGAGCUGGGUGUUGACCGGGACUCUUUGGCCCCAGAGACUUGAGGCCUAGCCACUGCCCCUGCAGUGAGAGAGGCAGGGCUGCUGGCCCCCAGGGCGCAGGCAGGAAACCAUCUGGUCAACACAAGAACCCCAGGGUGGAGGUGUGGGAUUAUGCCCAUUAUACAGACCAGGGACUGAGGCACAGAGAAGUGAGUGGUGAGCCCCAGUCUCACUGUAGUGACUGAGUCAGAAUUUGAACCCAGCCUGUCUGUCUCCGGAGCCCUCAUGCUUGAUUGAUUUUAUAGCUGAGGCCAAAGAGAGCAGCGUCUCUCUCGUCAUGGGCCGUUACCGAGCCCUGGGAGACUUUCUCUGUGUGGGACGUAUCUGCCAAGAGCGGGCAGUUUUAGCGGGCCUCCCCAAGAACGCUGGGUGCACCUAGGCUGGUGGGAUGGGACAGGUGCCCAGAUACCCAGCAGAUGCCACCCCCGCCCAGAUUUGCCAGCCCAGAAUUCCUCCCUGGAAAAUCAGAUAAUCAAAGAAGUCAAACACCGUGAAAUGAGUGCGAUCCUUGCCAGAAGCCCAGAGGGAACAUCAGGGAGUCAUCACAUGGCCGGUGCAGGGCCCACCACACUGCAGUUGCUCAACGAACGUGUUCUGUGAACAAAUGAAGGAAUGAGGAGUGAGGAAUGGAACCAAAAAGUGGGCAGCAUCUGCUAAGAUUGCCAGCCUGGACACAUUGGCUAUGCCCCUGUGUGGCUGGGCUGGAGGAAAUCUGGGCUGCCUUCCUGGAGGAAGGCGCAUCAGCCUCAGAGGAGGCAGCUGCUCCAUGUUCCCUUCCACAGGGGCCUGUGCCUCCCGAAUGACAGCUUUUACCAUGAUUUAUCUGUAGCUCAGCUGUGUGACCCUGAUCAAGUUACUAAACCUCUCUGCGCCCUGGUUUCGUCAUCUGUAGGAGCAGUGCCUACUUCCCAGAGCUGGGCCCUCCUUCAAGGGCAAGGAAACCCUAAGCAGAAGUGUUUGGAUCAGUGUCUGCACAUAGCACUUGCUCAGCGGCACUGACCGUGAUUCCUCUGGGAUUUCCCGCUGCACUCUGAGCUCUGUGAGGGCAGGGCCCAGGUCCAUCUUGUGGGUUCCUGGUGGCUCUAAUUAACACUGCCAGAAUGACUACCCAGCCUGGGGAGGUGGCUUUCCCUGAAGAAUAUGCUUUGGGUCCUCGAGAUGGCUGGAGAGUGUCUGGGCCAGCAGGUUCCUAAAGGCAGACUCUUUUGCGGUUUGCUGGGCUCUGCAGCCACGAGAGCCGGAAGUCUGCCCAGAGCCUGGCAGGGGGCUCCCUGGGAGUUUGGGGGCAUCACUGAAGCCCCCACAGCUGCCAAGUGCAGACAGUAAACCAGGGAAACCCUGGUGGGUGGGUCUGUAAGGGUCCCCAGGCUCCAUGAUGGGAGGGGCAGAGGAGCUGCUCCUGGCUGCUGCUCUCAGGGUCCAAGGCUCACUGUUCAGGAGAGUUCCAGAGCCCCGGAAAUACCUGGCCCAGCCUAGUGAGUCUAGUCCCUGCUUCUGGCUCAGACUCCACCUAGUGCCCAAAGCUGGCUGUGAUGGGCACAAGUGGCACAGUGAAUACCACUUGUCUCCUGCUUUCCUGGAGCUAUUUAUAGGGCAGUGUUGAGGCUUGUGGGGCUGCCUGGAGGUGGUGGUACAUGUCUUCAUGGAGGGGUUUGACUGCCUCCAACAGGAGCCCCUGGAAGGUGCAGACUGUCUGUCAUUUACGGCAUGUUUGUGAGGGAAGACAGAAGGACCCAGAGAGGCAGAAAUGAGGGGAGAGGGAGGGCACGGUGGGGCGAACAAGUUGGUAAGUGGCAUGGACAACGCAGAGCAGCUGGAAUGGGCAGUGGGCAGCCCCGCGUGGCUGGGACCAGGAUGCGUGUCUGUCUGUCUUGGCUAGGGGAACACCAACCUUCCCUCUGCCUGGCCAACAGCCCUCCUAUGCCCCUUGCCUCCCUGGGUCCCUGCUGAGAACGGCAGCACCAGCCUUGCGCAGGGACCGUGGCAGUCACCUCUCUUCCCUUUCAUUCCUCUGUGCACUUCUGAGCACGCCUCCACCUCGCUGCUGUGAGAAAGUCCAGAUGUCCACCCCGUACCCUGCGCAGUGGGGUGGGUCCCCCCUCCCUGCUCCCAGAGCCCCGGGCCUCCCGUGGUAGCACUUGUCACUGUGUCCUGGAAUUGCCCAUUUGAGUCCACGCCCCCAGCGACUGUAGACUCCAAGGGCAGGACUGAUCAUGCUGGUGUCUGCUGUGUGCUCAGAGCCCAGCACGGGGACAGCAUGCGUAGGUGCUUCUCUGAGUCUGUUCUGACUGCUGUGACAAAUGACCAUCAGCACGGGCUGGAGGCUGGAAGUCUGGGGUCCGGGCGCCGGCACCGUCGGGUUCUGGAGAGGCCUCCUCCGGCUUGCAGACCGCUGACUUCUCGCCGUGUCCUCGCACAGGGGAAGGGUGAGGCCGCUCUCUGGGUCUCUCUGACAAGGGCACUGAUCCCACUCAGGAGGGCCACCCUCGUGACCUAAUCACCGCCCAAAGGCCCCGCCUCCUAACGCCAUCGCACUGGGAUUAGGGUCCCAACAUGAAUUUUGGGGAGACACAAAGAUUCAGUCCAUAAGGGUGAGAAGAGUGCUCAAUGAACUGCCUGCAGAGUGACGGUCAGUGAGCCCACUGGGCCAGCUCACGCCCCUGCAGCUCCGCUUGGGGCUGGCUGCACCCAGGGUCCACAUCUGCAGUGGCUCCCAUUGUCCCCCCUCCUGGAGCAGGCCUGGAGUUGGCCCUGCCCCUCCUGCUCCCUGUCGGGGUCCCGCCUGUCCUGUCAGGAUUAUGGUGAGACUUCUGUGCCCACAGGCCCUUUGCUUCUGCCAAAUUCCACCUUCUCCAAAUAAACGCCUCUU